rnacentral:lncRNA from 1 species
UCCAUUUUCCCCAAGGAAUAUAUAUAAUCACUCCUUCACCUUCUCACCACAAUGAGAUGGAUUUUUUGGGAUAAUUUUCAGUGUUUACUUGAUAUGCCCAAAUUUGUUUUGUUGAUAUCUUAAAAGUUGUCACUUUUUGGACAAAUGGGAAGGUAGCGAUGAAGGUUGAGUACAGAAAAAGGUGGCUGAGAAACAAAUAAAGACUCCAUUUUUAGGACAGAAGGGUGGAUAAAAAAUGAUGUUGAUGGAUUUAUCAUAAAAAGAAUUCAAUAUAUAUAUAAUCAUUUUAAAAAUUGUUUUUAUAAACAUAUAAUUAGAAAACAUGAAUGUGCAUUGAAGAUUGUUCUCAUGCUCAAAAUUCUCAAGUAAAAUAAACAAGAAGGGAGAUAUUAUAGGUUCUAUUCUCGCUCCAGAGAAGAAAUAGGAAAAAAAUCCAAUGGAUACC